UUUUAUGGAGAGUUUGAUCCUGGCUCAGGAUGAACGCUGGCGGCGUGCCUAAUACAUGCAAGUCGAGCGAACGGAUGAGAAGCUUGCUUCUCUGAUGUUAGCGGCGGACGGGUGAGUAACACGUGGAUAACCUACCUAUAAGACUGGGAUAACUUCGGGAAACCGGAGCUAAUACCGGAUAAUAUUUUGAACCGCAUGGUUCAAAAGUGAAAGACGGUCUUGCUGUCACUUAUAGAUGGAUCCGCGCUGCAUUAGCUAGUUGGUAAGGUAACGGCUUACCAAGGCAACGAUGCAUAGCCGACCUGAGAGGGUGAUCGGCCACACUGGAACUGAGACACGGUCCAGACUCCUACGGGAGGCAGCAGUAGGGAAUCUUCCGCAAUGGGCGAAAGCCUGACGGAGCAACGCCGCGUGAGUGAUGAAGGUCUUCGGAUCGUAAAACUCUGUUAUUAGGGAAGAACAUAUGUGUAAGUAAC
rnacentral:rRNA from 1 species